GAAAUGCGAUAAGUAAUGUGAAUUGCAGAAUUCAGUGAAUCAUCGAAUCUUUGAACGCACCUUGCGCUCCUUGGUAUUCCUUGGAGCAUGCCUGUUUGAGUAUAUGAAAUCUUCAAAGUAAAUCUUUUGUUAACUCAAUUGGUUUCUACUUUGGUAUUGGAGGUCUUUGCAGCUUCACACCUGCUCCUCUUUGUUCAUUAGCUGGAUCUCAGUGUUAUGCUUGGUUCCACUCGGCGUGAUAAGUUAUCUAUCGCUGAGGACACUGUAAAAGGUGGCCAAGGUAAAUGCAGAUGAACCGCUUCUAAUAGUCCAUUGACUUGGACAAUACUUUUAUGAUCUGAUCUCAAAUCAGGUAGGACUACCCGCUGAACUUAAGC
rnacentral:misc_RNA from 1 species